UACGAAAGGGGCAAGCGUUACUCGGAAUUACUGGGCGUAAAGGGUGAGUAGGCGGCUGAGCAAGUCAAGGAUGAAAGCCCGAGGCUUAACUUCGGAAUUGUCCUUGAAACUGCUCAGCUUGAGGGUAGUUGAGGAGAGUGGAAUUCCUCGUGGAGCGGUGAAAUGCGUAGAUAUCGGGAGGAACGCCUGAGGCGAAGGCGGCUCUCUAAGCUAUUCCUGACGCUGAAUCACGAAAGCUAGGGGAUCAAACGGG
rnacentral:rRNA from 1 species